UACGGAGGGUGCAAGCGUUGUCCGGAAUCACUGGGCGUAAAGCGUCUGUAGGUGGUUCGAAAAGUCCACUGUUAAAAAUUGAGGCUUAACUUCAAAGAUGCCGUGGAAACUUUCAAACUAGAGUAUGGUAGGGGUAGAGGGAAUUUCCAGUGGAGCGGUGAAAUGCGUAGAUAUUGGAAAGACCACCAAUGGCGAAGGCACUCUACUGGGCCAUUACUGACACUGAGAGACGAAAGCUAGGGGAGCAAAUGGG
rnacentral:rRNA from 1 species